UCCUUUUUCAAAUCAGUGAAAUUAAUCUCCCCGUGAAGAAGCGGGGAUACUCAUAUAAGACGAGAAGACCCCAUGGAGCUUCAAACCCAACUACACCCCUAGCUCUUAUAGCCCCACAACCCCCCUAGGCACCGUGUGCUUGGUUUUAGGUUGGGGCGACCGCGGAGUACAAUAAAACCUCCACAAUGAAUGGGAACACCCCCUUAUCUGAGGGCCACACCCCCUAAGAAUUAGAACACUAACAUAAAAUGAUCCAUUACUUGAUCAAUGAACCAAGUUACCCUGGGGAUAACAGCGCAAUCCAUUUCAAGAGCCCCUAUCGACAAAUGGGUUUACGACCUCGAUGUUGGAUCAGGGUACCCCAGUGGUGCAGCAGCUACUAACGGUUCGUUUGUUCAACGAUUAAAACCCU
rnacentral:rRNA from 1 species